GGCUGGUCUGAGUGCAGUGGUGUUUACAACUAAUUGAUCACAACCAGUUACAGAUUUCUUUGUUCCUUCUCCACUCCCACUGCUUCACUUGACUAGCCUAAA
ensembl:misc_RNA Y_RNA Y RNA